UUUGGCAAAACGUUAGCACAUUUUAAUCAUCUCCAAUCGUUGUUUCACCAUUUUGGGUAAAGAAUUUAUUACUCUUGUCUUCUUCCCUCAAUGAAUGCCAAUCCAAACGGUAACUUAGUGAUUUUUAAUUUUUUCUUUUCGAUUUUGCAUUGCUUCUCUAGUACGAUUCGGAUUCCAAAUCCAUUAUAGAUGAAUUCCAAUUUUCAAAGUGUCCCACAUUGAAUUUGAACGACAAAAAACCUAGUUGAGGUUCUAUAAAUAGAACAUUCUUUCUUCAUUUGAUGAUACGUUUUAGACACCAUUAGAAACUAGAAUAAUAAGUGAAUUGUGUUAAAAGGCAUUUUGAGGCUGAGCCUUGAAAUCGAUUUGUGUUCGGAGUUCAUAGUUAAAUAGUUUUGUCUUCUCGGAGUCUGUUGGUGAAAGGUGGAAGGUUAUCGAUUCAACUUUUGUCCCCCCCUUCGCUGCAUUGAAAAAAGGUGGUUAUCUUUGUUCGAAGUGAUAGUUCUUCUGAGACAUGUGGGAUGGCUAUGUUUAAGGCAAAGUUGACUAUUUCCCUCACUUAUAGUAUAACAAAAUUAUGUCCCUGGAUGUGUUAAGAUAAGUUAUCAUGAAACAUGUUUCAAACAUCUUGUAUUGGCCCUUUGUUUGGUUGAAGCCCAUGGCUUAAGGUUGUAUAAACUGAAAUAUGUUCCACACCAUUAACAUGCUGUACGAAAUUUCAUGAAUGAUUAUGUUGUGAUCUCCUUUCUCUUUCAUCAGUUGUUGUUAAUGCAUGGCUACUGAUCCUGUCUUAAAUUGUCUUCCAAAACAACUGAAUACAAUGCUAAAUGCUAAAGAAAUUUCAUGAAUGACUAUGCUGUGUGUUUUAAAAGAGUUAGAAAAACUCACUGUAUGAUUGUCUAAGGUCUAAAGCGCUCUCUUAUCUUGUCUAAAUUGAUUUAAACAACUAGCUGCUAUUUCCCAGAGUUAUUGUUUAGUUCUCAAAUGUUUUUUUAAAUACAUGUUUGGCUCAACUUAUUUCGAUGAACAGUUCAGGACUUUAGAAGUUAAUAUGUCAAGAACUUGUCUUCCAGAGUCUUUAUUUGAUAUCUUCUUCCCAAUGUUAUAGUUUACCUGAACUAUGGAGAUAAAAAAGAUGUAACAUGUGCUUCAAUAUUCGGGUGUU